UGGGGAAUAUUGGACAAUGGGCGAAAGCCUGAUCCAGCCAUGCCGCAUGAGUGAAGAAGGCCUUUGGGUUGUAAAGCUCUUUUAGUGAGGAAGAUAAUGACGGUACUCACAGAAGAAGUCCUGGCUAACUCCGUGCCAGCAGCCGCGGUAAUACGGAGAGGGCUAGCGUUAUUCGGCAUUAUUGGGCGUAAAGGGCGCGUAGGCUGGUUAAUAAGUUAAAAGUGAAAUCCCGAGGCUUAACCUUGGAAUUGCUUUUAAAACUAUUAAUCUAGAGAUUGAAAGAGGAUAGAGGAAUUCCUGAUGUAGAGGUAAAAUUCGUAAAUAUUAGGAGGAACACCGGUGGCGAAGGCGUCUAUCUGGUUCAAAUCUGACGCUGAAGCGCGAAGGCGUGGGGAGCAAACA
rnacentral:rRNA from 1 species